UUUGAACGCUGGCGGCAGGCCUAACACAUGCAAGUCGAACGGUAACAGAAAGCAGCUUGCUGCUUUGCUGACGAGUGGCGGACGGGUGAGUAAUGUCUGGGAAACUGCCUGAUGGAGGGGGAUAACUACUGGAAACGGUAGCUAAUACCGCAUAACGUCGCAAGACCAAAGAGGGGGACCUUCGGGCCUCUUGCCAUCGGAUGUGCCCAGAUGGGAUUAGCUAGUAGGUGGGGUAACGGCUCACCUAGGCGACGAUCCCUAGCUGGUCUGAGAGGAUGACCAGCCACACUGGAACUGAGACACGGUCCAGACUCCUACGGGAGGCAGCAGUGGGGAAUAUUGCACAAUGGGCGCAAGCCUGAUGCAGCCAUGCCGCGUGUAUGAAGAAGGCCUUCGGGUUGUAAAGUACUUUCAGCGGGGAGGAAGGGAGUAAAGUUAAUACCUUUGCUCAUUGACGUUACCCGCAGAAGAAGCACCGGCUAACUCCGUG
rnacentral:rRNA from 1 species